CUGCUCGCUUCGGCAGCACAUAUGCUAAAAUUGAAAUGAGACAGAGAAGAUUACCAUGGCCACUGUGUAAGGAUGACAUGCAAAUUCAUGAAGUGUUCCAUAUUUUU